AAGUCGUAACAAGGUUUCCGUAGGUGAACCUGCGGAAGGAUCAUUAACUUUAUACAAUUGGGUUCGCCCGAUUUUAUAUACUAAAAAACCAAAAUCUACCAAUCCGUGAACUUUAAACACAAAAACGAAAGAGAUGAAAGGGCGUUACAAACCUGACCAGUCUCUGACAGAACCAAUUCCACACUUUUAUAUUAACCUUAUUAACAAACCAUUACCGUAACGCCAUUCGUUUUUCAGAGUGGGUCGUACUAAAACAACAGCGUGUUGCUACUCUUUUUGAGCGCAUGCACCAAUUAUUUUACAAAAUAGAGAAAUACAACUCUUAACAACGGAUAUCUUGGCUCUC
rnacentral:misc_RNA from 1 species